UAAAAAGUAAGCUAAAGAUUAAGCUUUUGGGUUCAUACCCCAACUAUAGAAUUAUUCUCUUUUUAA
rnacentral:tRNA from 1 species